rnacentral:lncRNA from 1 species
GAAGUUACACAAGUUGUUUGUAGAAAAUAUGGAAAAUACCAAGAAGCAGGAAGGGGAAUCGGAAUCCCUGAAAUACAACGUGGAGACGGUGUAACUUUGCCUCCUGUUUUCUGUCUCGUUCCUGCUGAGUGUGAGAGGCACUAAGCCUCCAGGCAUCCAGCAACCCUCAGCCGCGUAUCGCACAAAUCCCGGGUUUCGGACGAGUGUGAAGCUUACGGAAAAGCCAGGUGGGUUCUCCAAGGUGGAGCCGCAGGUGGACAGCAGAGCGUGGGUGACCAGGGUCAGCAUGCGGUGAUGCGCAGUUUUGUCCCGCCUUUCACCUGAGCUCCCGAGCGGUGCCCGGUGCAGAAACAGUCUUCAGAGACCCCCUAGUGGCCGCGUGUACCACGUGGUUGAACCCCGAAGAAGGCUGAACUCCAUCCAACCCCCUGAGGCUGGACAUCUCCACGGUCCCCAGUUUUUCAGUAUUGUGGAUAGUUUUCCAGCCUCUCCAGGGCAGAGGCUGUGUCUGGUGCAUGUUCAGGCACUGCAGCGACUGGCACACGGCACUGGGUAGGUGCUUAGCACAACAUGUGAACAAAUAUUUAUUGAACUUCAUAAAGGUAAAC